UUACAUCUGAUUGUGAUUCGUUUUGUUUAAAUCAACUUUUGCAAGCUUUUAUAGAAAUAGAAACAUAUCGAAAAGUUUUUGAAGGAUUGGAGUUCCCAUCAAUAUAUAUGCCAUUUAGUAACGGAAACCGAGAAGACUGAAUCACCAUUGCCGCUGAACGAAGAAACAAAGAAACCUGAACGAUGAAAAUCUGUGAUAAAUUGAAUUAUUAUAUAAAGUACUGAUUCAUAUAUUAAUUCGUUAUCUGUAAGUAGUUGUUAGCAUCUUAAUUUAGGUUUUGUGCCAUAUUGAAAAAGUGCAAGCGUGUUACGUUUGAAUCUACUGACUUACUAUUUAUUUUUCCUUUUUUUGUAUCGACUUGACUUUGACUACUCCCAAAUCUUUUCAACGUGGUUAUAGACAAAAUGCUCCUGCCCAAUGAGGAUGUUCUAUGGUUACUUUGACUUGUAGAUUACAGUAUGUAGCACCCAUUGUUGAGAGCUUGACUUCCAAUUUUGUUUUCAAACAGAAUUUUGAUUUUUACGUUUAAGUUAAGUUGCGUUUUUUGUAAUAUUUGUUAAUUUAUUUUGAAUAGUUCUGAAAUAUAUCAAUUGUAUGUUU